rnacentral:snRNA from 1 species
GCUUUAGUUUAAAUGAUAAGGAAG